CGCACCUUGCACUCUUUAGUAUUCUGAAGAGUAUGCCCGGUUGAGUGUUAUGAUCAUCUCAAACCUCAUCUUUCUUAACAAAGUCGGAUGUAGGUCUUGGACUUGGGUGUUUUGUUGGUCCUUUAUUGGAUUUAACUCGCCCGAAUUACAUUAGCUGGUACCUACUGCAUUACGGUUCCACUCGGCGUGAUAAGUAAAUCUAUCGUCGAGGACAUUGUUUAACAGCGAUGGCCGUGAAGUACGUUUAUAAAAGCCGCUUCUAAUCGUCUUUGGACACAUUCAUUGAAAUACAUGAACUAUUUGACCUCAACUCGGGUAGGAUUACCCGCUGAACUUAA
rnacentral:misc_RNA from 1 species